AGAGAGCGUGGAAUUCCCUGAGCAGAAUUGCUACCAACCAGAUUAGCCAACCUGUGCUGCAGACAGAAAUUCGAUGCAGCUUUCCAGGAUCUAAGUUUAUAGAGGAACUAAGAAAUUACCAUAAUUGACAUAUGGCAAAGUUGAAGCUCUAACUUCAAAAAAAAGUACUGAACAACUCAGGAAGCACCGAAGAAAAUAACAGCAAAAAGGGUUGCAAAAAAGAAUCAAACACAUAUUUGGAAAAGAAAUUAUCUGCCAUGAACUCCAUACACCUCACCCCAAAAGGAGAAUCCUCACAAAUCUCAACUCCAGACCAUGAUCUACAGCCUUGUCAUGGUCUGAAAACUAAGACAACCAAGACAAAACUAAGACAUAGAUUGUGAGUUUGAAAGGAUUUCCCCCUUAAUGCAACAGAGAAAAAGUCUCUCUGUGGGAAGAACCUCUCAGGUGCUUAGGGCUGUCUUUGAAGCUGUAGGAACUCACAGAUACAUAGAAGAGGCUGUACAGCACCCAACAUUGUCAGAAAAUCUUAAG